GAUAAAGACAGAAGGUAUCUGAAAUUUGAUUGCAGAUCAAACUUAUAAGGGUUCAAUUCCCUUCUUUAUCU
rnacentral:tRNA from 1 species